rnacentral:rRNA from 1 species
GACGAACGCUGGCGGCGUGCUUAACACAUGCAAGUCGAACGGAAAGGCCCUGCUUUUGUGGGGUGCUCGAGUGGCGAACGGGUGAGUAACACGUGAGUAACCUGCCCUUGACUUUGGGAUAACUUCAGGAAACUGGGGCUAAUACCGGAUAGGAGCUCCUGCUGCAUGGUGGGGGUUGGAAAGUUUCGGCGGUUGGGGAUGGACUCGCGGCUUAUCAGCUUGUUGGUGGGGUAGUGGCUUACCAAGGCUUUGACGGGUAGCCGGCCUGAGAGGGUUACCGGCCACAUUGGGCCUGAGAUACGGCGCAGACUGCUACGGGAGGCAGCAGUGGGGAAUAUUGCACAAUGGGCGGAAGUCUGAUGCAGCAACGCCGCGUGCGGGAUGACGGCCUUCGGGUUGUAAACCGCUUUCGCCUGUGACGAAGCGUGAGUGACGGUAAUUGGUAAAGAAGCAACGGCUAACUACGUG